CUUUCAGGAAAGGGAGCUACUUAGCAACACUCCACUCCCAGGGAUUCUGAAUGUGAAGAAUCUUGGGAUGGCACUUGAUCAGAUGUUCCAGUAACAAAAUCAUAAAAAUGUGGUCCUUUUGGCUGAGGCUUGGAGUCAAAGACAAGAGGGGAAACUGAGGAUCAGAUUAAUGUCUGGCUGAGUCAGGAAUGCUGCACCCAUCUCUUCGGAAGCGUUCCAGAAACCUCCCCGGAGUCUGUGUGGUGACUCCGCACCUUGCCCUCACAGUCUGGGCCCCUGAACUUUGUUCUGCGAGCAGGUGCACAGUCGAAAAUAACAACCAGUAAGGCGGGGUGAGGCUAGAGCCUAUCAUUAGCAGUUGGCUUGUGUCAAGUGCUUUUCCUGUCAAAACACUCAAAGCCUUCCCCCACGCUCUUUCUGCCUUGGAACCAGCAGAGAAGGAAUUGUGACUGUAAGCAGAAACAAACCUCUCUUCCUUUAAAUUAAAGAGAUGCAUCCAGUCUCCUGAUCUUCCAGUUUGAACCGCAAUCAGUGUCCCGCCAG